GUGAGGAAUAUUGAGCAAUGGGCGAAAGCCUGACCCAGCCACGCCGCGUGAGUGAUGAAGGCCUUCGGGUUGUAAAGCUCUGUGGGGAGGGAAGAAAAAGCGCAGGAGUAACUGCCUGUGUGUUGACGGUACCUCCUUAGCAAGCACCGGCUAACUCUGUGCCAGCAGCCGCGGUAAUACAGAGGGUGCAAACGUUGCUCGGAAUUACUGGGCGUAAAGCGCGUGUAGGCUGACAUGCAAGUCGGGUGUGAAAUCCCAGGGCUCAACCUUGGAACUGCACUCGAAACUGCACGUCUUGAGUACUGGAGAGGGAAGCGGAAUUCCGGGUGUAGAGGUGAAAUUCGUAGAUAUCCGGAGGAACACCAGUGGCGAAGGCGGCUUCCUGGACAGUAACUGACGCUGAGACGCGAAAGCGUGGGGAGCAAACAGGAUUAGAUACCCGAGUAGUCC
rnacentral:rRNA from 1 species